UGGUCACCUGCAACUACAGCAGGAUCAGGAA
rnacentral:piRNA from 1 species